rnacentral:rRNA from 1 species
GGUCCAGACUCCUACGGGAGGCAGCAGUGGGGAAUAUUGCACAAUGGGGGGAACCCUGAUGCAGCGACGCCGCGUGGGUGAAGGAGCACCUCGGUGCGUAAAGCCCUAUCGGCAGGGAAGAAAAGCGAACAGGUUCGCCUGGACGGUACCUGACCAAGAAGCCCCGGCUAACUACGUGCCAGCAGCCGCGGUAAUACGUAGGGGGCAAGCGUUAUCCGGAUUUACUGGGUGUAAAGGGAGCGUAGACGGUUAUGUAAGUCUGGAGUGAAAGCCCGGGGCCCAACCCCGGGACUGCUUUGGAACUGCGUGGCUGGAGUGCAGGAGGGGCAGGCGGAAUUCCUGGUGUAGCGGUGAAAUGCGUAGAUAUCAGGAGGAACACCGGUGGCGAAGGCGGCCUGCUGGACUGCAACUGACGUUGAGGCCCGAAAGCGUGGGGAGCAAACAGGAUUAGAUACCCGAGUAGA